rnacentral:rRNA from 1 species
UACGGAGGGGGCUAGCGUUGUUCGGAAUUACUGGGCGUAAAGCGCGCGUAGGCGGGCUGGCCAGUUGGGGGUGAAAUCCCGAGGCUUAACCUCGGAACUGCCCUCAAUACUGUCAGCCUCGAGUCCGGGAGAGGUGAGUGGAAUUCCUAGUGUAGAGGUGAAAUUCGUAGAUAUUAGGAAGAACACCAGUGGCGAAGGCGGCUCACUGGCCCGGUACUGACGCUGAGGCGCGAAAGCGUGGGGAGCAAACAGG